AAAUACUUAAUCCAAAACACACAAAUACUUAAGUUUUAAAAUACGCAAGUCUAAAAGUACGAUCAAAUAUCAAACAAGUAAUCAAAAAUCAUCAUCCUCAAGUCCAUCAUCCUCAAAUGUGUCAUCCCCAUCAUCUUUGAGAGUAAAACUGAAAUUAAAAAAUAAAAUUUAUUCAAUUAUAAAUUUAUAACAUCAAUCAAAACUGAAAUUAUAAAAAACAACUUCAAAAACUGACCUACAAUAUUGAAUAUGAAAGUUGAAACUCAAAAACUUCAAAAACUGAACUACAAUAUUGAAUUUGAAAGUUGAAACUCAAAAACAACUUCAAAAACUCACCUGGAGGCUGGCGGCGGCGGCGGCGGACGGCUGGGGCUGGCGGCGGCGGCGGCGCCGGCUGGCUGGCAGCGCCGGUAGGUGAGCAAAGAGGGGGAAGACGCAGAGGAGAGAAGAGAGGAGAAAGGAGGCUGCUGCUGCGUUUUUUUUUAAUUUUAAACAAAAGUGUAACUUUAUAACCCUAACCCUAAUUCUACGUAAGGCGCGCGCCUUAGUGAAAGUGCGCCUAGGCGCGCCUUUAGCGCUUUUGUGCGCCUCUGCUGCGCCUCUUGUAGGCUGCAGCGCCUGCCCUUAAAAAGCCCACCCCCCCUGCGCCUCGCUCAAGGCGCGCGCCUGGGCGCGCCCAGGCGCGCUUUUUCAAACCCAGGCAGAAAC
rnacentral:lncRNA from 1 species